UACGAAGGGGGCUAGCGUUGCUCGGAAUCACUGGGCGUAAAGCGCACGUAGGCGGCUUUCUAAGUCAGGGGUGAAAUCCUGGAGCUCAACUCCAGAACUGCCUUUGAUACUGGAAAGCUUGAGUUCGGGAGAGGUGAGUGGAACUGCGAGUGUAGAGGUGAAAUUCGUAGAUAUUCGCAAGAACACCAGUGGCGAAGGCGGCUCACUGGCCCGAUACUGACGCUGAGGAGCGAAAGCCAGGGGAGCAAACGGG
rnacentral:rRNA from 1 species